rnacentral:rRNA from 1 species
UACGUAGGAUGCAAGCGUUGUCCGGAAUUAUUGGGCGUAAAGAGCGCGCAGGCGGUAUGACAAGUCAGAUGUGAAAGAGGCCGGCUUAACCGGCAAGGGUCAUUUGAAACUGUCAGACUAGAGUGCAGCAGAGGAUAGUGGAAUUCCCGGUGUAGUGGUGAAAUGCGUAGAGAUCGAGAGGAACACCAGUGGCGAAGGCGGGUUCCUGGACAAGUCCUGACACUGAGGCACGAAAGCCGGGGGAGCAAACAGG